rfam:Picea glauca, whole genome shotgun sequence.
UGAAUGGUGUCUUUUGACACCACCUCUAUUUCUCUAGGAAGGUUUA